rnacentral:rRNA from 1 species
GACGAACGCUGGCGGCGUGCUUAACACAUGCAAGUCGAACGGAAAGGCCCUGCUUUUGUGGGGUGCUCGAGUGGCGAACGGGUGAGUAACACGUGAGUAACCUGCCCUUGACUUUGGGAUAACUUCAGGAACCUGGGGCUAAUACCGGAUAGGAGCUCCUGCUGCAUGGUGGGGGUUGGAAAGUUUCGGCGGUUGGGGAUGGACUCGCGGCUUAUCAGCUUGUUGGUGGGGUAGUGGCUUACCAAGGCUUUGACGGGUAGCCGGCCUGAGAGGGUGACCGGCAAAAUGGGAACUGAGUUCCGGCCAAGACUCCAAGGGGAGGAAGAGGGGGGAAAAAUUGAACAUGGGCGGAAGCCUGGUGGAAGCACGGCCGGGUGCGGGAGAACGGCCUUCGGUUGGAAACCGCUUUCGCCUGUGACGAAGCGUGAGUGACGGUAAUGGGUAAAGAAGCACCGGCUAACUACGUG